rnacentral:rRNA from 1 species
UAGGGAAUCUUCGGCAAUGGACGAAAGUCUGACCGAGCAACGCCGCGUGAGUGAAGAAGGUUUUCGGAUCGUAAAACUCUGUUGUUAGAGAAGAACAAGGACGUUAGUAACUGAACGUCCCCUGACGGUAUCUAACCAGAAAGCCACGGCUAACUACGUGCCAGCAGCCGCGGUAAUACGUAGGUGGCAAGCGUUGUCCGGAUUUAUUGGGCGUAAAGCGAGCGCAGGCGGUUUCUUAAGUCUGAUGUGAAAGCCCCCGGCUCAAGCGGGGAGGGUCAUUGGAAACUGGGAGACGUGAGUGCAGAAGAGGAGAGUGGAAUUCCAUGUGUAGCGGUGAAAUGCGUAGAUAUAUGGAGGAACACCAGUGGCGAAGGCGGCUCUCUGGUCUGUAACUGACGCUGAGGCUCGAAAGCGUGGGGAGCAAACAGG